rnacentral:lncRNA from 1 species
AGGAGGUAGAAAUUAUAGCAACAUUUUUAACACAGCUCGGUGCUUCUGUGUGUUUGAGUGUGUGUGUGUGGUUGUGUGUGUGUGUGUGUGUGUGUGUGUGUGUGUGUGUGUGUGUGUGUGUGUGCGCAUAUGUGUAUCUGUGUGUUGUGUUUAAAUCAGUUACAUACAUAAUUGUGUGUAUAUUCAAAACUUCAGUCUUCACAAUAUCGCCAUUGAGUGUAUAACUCUUGUCCGACUGGGUUGAGGUUAGCCAGCUUUCUAGUCCAAUGCAGACAGUAUGUCCUCUAAGAAUACUGCACGCUUUGUGUCGUCCAACCUCCAGUAUCAGACUAUAAUAUGCAGAUUCUCAUAGUUCCCACUAAGUCUUGCUGGAACUACCAUCCUGAAUAUCUGAUCCCCAACAUCUAUACAAACGUAUCUGUACAUUUAUUGCAAGAAUCUCUUUAGUGCUUUUGGAAUCAUACUGAGGUGCAAUUUAUCAUACAUAACCGUUCAGCCAGAGCCAUACACAUCACAGAGUUCGUGGAUGAUAGUUAGUUAGAUCUCAGUAUAUCUACGGCUCUGGGUUCAACAGCACAACAUUGAUCCAUCCCCUUCACUAUACAUUAACACAUUUCCAAAGGCUCAGAGCAACUAGGUUUUGGGUGCAAGAGAGAGAGAAAGGGAGAAAAGUAAGAAGCAUUGCCAAAACAUGCAGCUAAAGUCAUUCUUAGGGGGAGGUUAGUUAUUUUGUAGGAUUUGAUACACAGGGAGGGAAGUUGUAGUAUUUGACCAAGGCUCCUGUUCAUUUGGAGUACAUUAUGGGGGGUUGUAGCAUAACAUACAAAUCAAAUCGCUAUGUCCAAGGUCAUCUCAGAGAGAGGAAACGCCGAGUUUGGGAGUAUGAUGUCUUAGACCGGUGUAAUAGAGUUAGUUUUGAGUUUGGGGUAGAUGGUGUGUGACUUUUUGAGUUUGAGGCACCUUUCUUCUGAAGGCAGUUUGGAGAUGGACUAGGUAAGGGGUGUUGAGGAUUACAUGUUGAUUUUACCUCAAGAAAAUGAACCACAAAAAAAAUGACUAAAAUAAUAACGAUGUAAGAUUGUAAACAUACGGCGACACUAGCAGGCCAUUAAACUUUCACUGUCAGUGGGCAAAACGAGUGUAUAUUUUCUGUACAUUUUACAGUGUCAUCAGGAGAAAAGGAAGGUUAACCAUUUCACGAGUGGAAGACAAAAAGCAGAAGAGCUGAGGCCAGGCUCGCUGUGUGACCUCACUAGGGUCAGAAGCCCGUCACUAUCCCUCCUCUCGCUCCUUCCACCCUGACGACGCAGGUAUAACGGCUGUAGGGGGAGGGGCACCCCGUUGCCCUGACCACCCUGCUGAUUGACAGCUAAAGAUGAGGAAGUGGCAGGAGCUGCAGAGGCAGAGGCGGAACCGCGUCGUAAAGGGGUGCAAGACCCGACUUGUUUCUCUAGGAUAGAGGAGCCCUGGUGAGAGGUGGUGCCCCCUAGCAGCUCCAACUGGGAACAACUACUGGCCAACAUAGCCUGUCGC